rnacentral:piRNA from 1 species
UACAAAUUUGUGUGCUCAACUGCCUGUU